GUUCCUUUUGCUCUAGUUGUACAAGAGCCUGUAGAAUUGCAUAUAGCAAAACCAGAAAAAGAACCUAAGCGGAUUAGCUUCUCAUGGGACAGUAUCAGUGAGAGAGCUCCUUCCAAAUCAGCAGAGCUGAAGGCAUCUAUCAGAGUGUCUCCUAUCCAGACUGUCCAGCUUCCCUGUCAAGUAGAGGAUGUCAGAUCUCCCCAUUUUUCUCCAAAAAUGUCACCUGUGGCAGUGGACCAGAUCACACACACUGCUGGACUCUUGCGUCUUGAUGCUGCGGGCAGAGAGCCAUCUGAAGAUGAGUUCCUGAGGACAGAAGAGCCUGUUUGCACUGGCCAUUCUCCCCAGUUUCUGCCGUUGGACAAUUUGUCACCCGACCUCUCCGUGGAGCAAAGAGAGGAACUAAGACACAGUGAUCCAGGCAUUCCCACUGAAGCUAGACCUACAACCCAUGCGGAGAGUGUUCCUCAAACUCCCAUCAGUCAAGUCUGGAUUCUGUAUCAUCUUGCACACAUGACUGAUGAGGGAACUUUGUCCACCAAAGUUUUGUCCCAACCUCCUUUUAAUGGUUGUGCUUAUAUUCGAAUGUUUGGGCCUGGCCACGUCCUGCUAGCAGAGAGAUCUUCUCGUCAUGCUCCACCUGAUAUGGAACCAGUAAGAGGAUGUCUGAGCCCAGGAGGUAGCUUUGUAUCUGUUCCUUCGCAGCCAGCUUCCACAGACAUAUCCCAUCCAGGGAUGAGCAUACCAAAUUAUUUUCUGUCACUGGAGGACAGUCUGGACAAUGAGGCUCAGAAUUCUGUUACUGUCAGAACAAGCAGCAGGAUGCUCUGUCAAGUUCUCAGCAACACUGGAAGUAUGGUUUAUUCACCUGCUAUCUUCCGCUCAGUCACCCUUGCUACACCUUUGGAUGGACAAGCAGUUAAGUCCAAACCAUAUUCCACAAGCGCCCCUGUUAUAUUAUAGGGGCAGGCAGGAGCACCAGCCUCGCAAAGCUUCCAUCGUGGGUUUUAAUAUAGAAAAUAUGCAGAAUACACUGUUUCUAUAUGUAAUCUUUCUGCAUGGCACACCUGAAGGUAGCUCUUACAUUAAAAAUGAGCAUCAGGUAC
rnacentral:lncRNA from 1 species